UGUGCUGUGCGUGUUGCUGCAAAUUGUGCUGUGUGCGUGCGUGCGUGCACCACUAUAUCAAGCUAAUCAAGCGUGCACGGCCAGCACGACGCUCAGUCACUGCGUGCUUCGUCAGUGAAGUUUUUUUUAUUCUGUUCACGUAGAACUGUAAAACACGCGCGAGAAUAAAGCUGCGAUUCAGCACAUUUAGUGAAACGAAGUGAAGAAUUAAUUAUGAGAGAAUGAGAGUGAAAGAAAGGAAGGAGUUAGGAGGGAAAGGAGAAUACAGUGGGCGACUUUAAUGAUUUCUCGAGGCUGUUUUAAUAGAGUACGUCUGCCGUUGCAUCAUCACUGUAUACCGGGUGUCCAACUGAUUAAUAACUGUUGACAAGUUUUUAAAUAAUUUUGUAGGUUUUCCUUCAGGAAAGAUGUGGAGAUAGACAGCGCAU